UUGGGUUUAAAGGGUGCGUAGGCGGCUUUUUAAGUCAGUGGUGAAAUCUUGCCGCUUAACGGUAAAAUUGCCAUUGAUACUGAGAAGCUUGAGUACAUUUGAGGUAAGCGGAAUGUGUAGUGUAGCGGUGAAAUGCUUAGAUAUUACACAGAACACCAAUUGCGAAGGCAGCUUACUAAACUGUUACUGACGCUGAUGCACGAAAGCGUGGGGAGCGAACAGGAUUAGAUACCCUGGUAGUCCACGCCGUAAACGAUGUUCACUCGCUGUUUGCGAUACACAGCAAGCGGCCAAGCGAAAGCAUUAAGUGAACCACCUGGGGAGUACGAUCGCAAGGUUGAAACUCAAAGGAAUUGACGGGGGCCCGCACAAGCGGAGGAACAUGUGGUUUAAUUCGAUGAUACGCGAGGAACCUUACCUGGGCUUAAAUGUAGAGCGACAGCUUGUGAAAGCAGGCUUUCUUCGGACGAUCUACAAGGUGCUGCAUGGUUGUCGUCAGCUCGUGCCGUGAGGUGUCGGGUUAAGUCCCAUAACGAGCGCAACCCUUAUCGUUAGUUGCCAGCGGGUCAAGCCGGGGACUCUAGCGAGACUGCCACCGUAAGGUGUGAGGAAGGUGGGGAUGACGUCAAAUCAGCACGGCCCUUAUGUCCAGGGCCACACACGUGUUACAAUGGCAAGUACAAAGGGCAGCUACCGGGUGACCGGAUGCUAAUCUCUAAAGCUUGUCUCAGUUCGGAUCGAAGUCUGCAACCCGACUUCGUGAAGCUGGAUUCGCUAGUAAUCGCAUAUCAGCCAUGAUGCGGUGAAUACGUUCCCGGGCCUUGUACACACCGCCCGUCAAACAAUGGAAGCUGGGGGUACCUGAAGUCUGUAACCGCAAGGAGCGGCC
rnacentral:rRNA from 1 species